rnacentral:rRNA from 2 species
UACGUAGGCAGCGAGCGUUGUUCGGAGUUACUGGGCGUAAAGGGUGUGUAGGCGGUCCCUUAAGUUUGGUGUGAAAUCUCCCGGCUCAACUGGGAGGGUGCGCCGGAUACUGAGGGGCUAGAGUGCGGGAAGGGAAAGUGGAAUUCCUGGUGUAGCGGUGAAAUGCGUAGAUAUCAGGAGGAACACCGGUGGUGCAAACGGCUUUCUGGACCGUAACUGACGCUGAGACACGAAAGCGUGGGGAGCAAACAGG